GUGAAACCUCUGCAAGCUGCAUGGAAACUUUUUAAAGACACCAUGAUAGAGGCUCAACUGAAAUCUAUACCCCAAAUUAAAAAACAUAGUAAGAGAACCAAAAAAGUGCCACCGUGGCUAAACAACAAAGUAAAAGAAGCAGUGAGAGGCAAAAAGGCAUCCUCUAAAAAGUGGAAGUUAAAUCCUAGUGAGGAAAAUAGAAAGGAGCACGAACUCUGGCAAAUGCAGUGUAAAAAUACAAGUAGGAAGGCCAAAAGAGAAUUUGAAGAACAGCUGGCCAAAGACUCAAAAAAUAAUAGCA